CCAAUAGCGUAUAUUAAAGUUGUUGCAGUUAAAAAGCUCGUAGUUGAACUUCGGGGUUCACCCAUUGGUCAGGCUUAACUGUCUGUACUGGUGAGAUGAGUCUCUACCUUCUGAGGAACUUUCAUGCCAUUUAUUUGGUGUGAUUGGAAAUCAGGACUGUUACUUUGAAAAAAUUAGAGUGUUUAAAGCAGGCUAACGUCUGAAUACAUUAGCAUGGAAUAAUGAAAUAGGACGGAUUGAUUCUAUUUCGUUGGUUUAUAGGAUCACCGUAAUGAGUAAUAGGGAUAGUUGGGGGCAUUAGUAUUCAAUUGUCAGAGGUGAAAUUCUUGGAUUUAUUGAAGACUAACUACUGCGAAAGCAUUUGCCAAGGAUGUUUUCAUUAAUCAAGAACGAAAGUUAGGGGAUCGAAGACGAUCAGAUACCGUCGUAGUCUUAACCAUAAACUAUGCCGACUAGGGAUCGGACGCAGUUAAUUUUAUAAUGACGUGUUCGGCACCUUACG
rnacentral:rRNA from 1 species